CAGUAGCCGCGGUAAGACAGAGGAUGCAAGCGUUAUCCGGAAUUAUUGGGCGUAAAGGGCUCGCAGGCGGUUUCUUAAGUCUGAUGUGAAAGCCCCCGGCUCAACCGGGGAGGGUCAUUGGAAACUGGGAAACUUGAGUGCAGAAGAGGAGAGUGGAAUUCCACGUGUAGCGGUGAAAUGCGUAGAGAUGUGGAGGAACACCAGUGGCGAAGGCGACUCUCUGGUCUGUAACUGACGCUGAGGAGCGAAAGCGUGGGGAGCGAACAGGAUUAGAUACCCCGGUAGUCCCUGUCUCUUAUAC
rnacentral:rRNA from 1 species